CCUACGGGUGGCAGCAGUAGGGAAUAUUGCGCAAUGGGCGAAAGCCUGACGCCGCGACGCCGCGUGAGGGAUGAAGGUCUUCGGAUUGUAAACCUCUGUUAGCAGGGAAGAACGGGCACUGUGCUAAUCAGCAGUGAAUUGACGGUACCUGCAAAGGAAGCACCGGCUAACUCCGUUCCAGCAGCCGCUGUAAUACGGAGGGUGCGUGCGUUAAUCGGAAUUACUGGGCGUAAAGCGCUCGUAGGCGGUAGGUCAAGUCAAGGGUGAAAUCCCCUCGCCUAACGUGGGAACUGCCUUUGAAACUGGCAACCUGGAGUGUGUGAGAGGAUAGUGGAAUUCCAGGUGUAGGGGUGAAAUCCGUAGAUAUCUGGAGGAACAUCAGUGGCGAAGGCGACUAUCUGGCACAUAACUGACGCUGAGGAGCGAAAGCGUGGGUAGCAAACAGGAUUAGAUACCCGUGUAGUC
rnacentral:rRNA from 1 species